rnacentral:rRNA from 1 species
UACGGAGGGUGCAAGCGUUGUCCGGAAUUAUUGGGCGUAAAGAGCUCGUAGGCGGCCUGUUGCGUCCGCUGUGAAAGCCCGGGGCUUAACCCCGGGUCUGCAGUGGAUACGGGCAGGCUAGAGGUAGGUAGGGGAGAAUGGAAUUCCCGGUGUAGCGGUGAAAUGCGCAGAUAUCGGGAGGAACACCGGUGGCGAAGGCGGUUCUCUGGGCCUUACCUGACGCUGAGGAGCGAAAGCGUGGGGAGCGAACAGG